AAAGAGUUUUCUUUUAUCUUUAUGAUUGUGCUGAAAUUGUAUACCUUACAUUUUGUUUUUCUCUCAAGUUUCUUUGGGAGAAAGAAACUUGAGGUGAAGGUUAGUCCAAGCCUAAAGUUGGAUAUUAUAGUGGUUGUGGUUGGUGAGCCAAGAUUAAAACCAACUGGGUUGAUAGUGAACCCGAGAAACUAUCGAUGGAGGGUUGUGGUUGGUGAGCCCAAAAAAAUCAAUUAGAUUUAUUUAUGUGUCCGAAAAAACAAACACACUGUAGUCAAGAGAUUAUAAUAAAAUUUUCAAAGGGAG
rnacentral:lncRNA from 1 species